rnacentral:rRNA from 1 species
ACGGGAGGCAGCAGUGGGGAAUAUUGGGCAAUGGGCGAAAGCCUGACCCAGCAACGCCGCGUGAAGGAAGAAGGUCUUCGGAUUGUAAACUUCUUUUAUGAGGGACGAAGGACGUGACGGUACCUCAUGAAUAAGCCACGGCUAACUACGUGCCAGCAGCCGCGGUAAUACGUAGGUGGCAAGCGUUAUCCGGAUUUACUGGGUGUAAAGGGCGCGUAGGCGGGAGAGCAAGUCAGAUGUGAAAUCUAUGGGCUUAACCCAUGAACUGCAUUUGAAACUGUUCUUCUUGAGUGCUGGAGAGGUAGACGGAAUUCCUUGUGUAGCGGUGAAAUGCGUAGAUAUAAGGAAGAACACCAGUGGCGAAGGCGGUCUACUGGACAGUAACUGACGCUGAGGCGCGAAAGCGUGGGGAGCAAACAGGAUUAGAUACCCUGGUA